GUAAUAACAAGCAUGCGCUCUGAAAAUGGCAUCAAAUACCAAAGUUUUCUUAUUGUUAACAAUUAGUGUAUUCCAAAGUAAUGGCGUCAGCUGGCAACGACAACUCGAACAUAUUGCUAAAACCAGACUGGAAAAUGAAGGUUUAUACGAUCGCAUACCUGCAGUAAGUACUUCA